rnacentral:rRNA from 1 species
AUGCAAGUCGAGCGGACAGAAGGGAGCUUGCUCCCGGAUGUUAGCGGCGGACGGGUGAGUAACACGUGGGUAACCUGCCUGUAAGACUGGGAUAACUCCGGGAAACCGGAGCUAAUACCGGAUAGUUCCUUGAACCGCAUGGUUCAAGGAUGAAAGACGGUUUCGGCUGUCACUUACAGAUGGACCCGCGGCGCAUUAGCUAGUUGGUGGGGUAAUGGCUCACCAAGGCGACGAUGCGUAGCCGACCUGAGAGGGUGAUCGGCCACACUGGGACUGAGACACGGCCCAGACUCCUACGGGAGGCAGCAGUAGGGAAUCUUCCGCAAUGGACGAAAGUCUGACGAACCAACGCCGCGUGAGUGAUGAAGGUUUUCGAAUCCUAAACUUCUGUUGUUAGGAAAAAACAAAGGCAAAAGUACCUGUUCGCACUUUACCGCAACGUAACCAAAAAUCCCCGGUUACUUAGUGGCCACCGCCCCCGUAAAUACGAAUUUGGCAGGUGUUUUUCCAAAAAUAAUUGGGUGUCAA